rnacentral:sRNA from 1 species
CAUCGUUCAUCUCCUAAGAAGGG